rnacentral:lncRNA from 1 species
UAUCUAGAUCUACUCUAGUUUAGAGAAGAGAGGAGAGCUCUCAUCUCUAAACCCUAGCUUUUGCUCUGUCUAUGAAUAAUGAAUAAUGAUCAAGGGGUGCCUCCUCCAGGGGCCAGGGGGUCUGGUUUUAUAGUCCCCUCAAGUGAACCUGGGCCGUCGGAUCAAACCGACAUUGAUUGAAUGGUUAUUCUUGAUCCUUUAGGUCGGUGGAGCAUAAUCCGCGAGAUUGAGCGUGAUUGGCCGAAAAAGGUGGGCGGGCGCCCUAAGGACUUGGGCGGGCGCCCUGUCCCUGACUCCGUUCGGUCUCCGCUUCCUUCCCGUGGCUUCUGGAGUCUUCUAGAUGUAAGAUAAUUGCGCGGCACGUUGAUAUCUCUAUGUAAUCCCGACGUGUGGGCCUUUCUUCCUUUUUUCCUGAUAACCCCCUGCAGAAAUAGACAAACACCAAAACUCGUGGAAUUCUGUCAGAUAAAACCCUAAGUCUUGAUGUUGAUUUCAUUUGGAUCCUUUUCUUUGUUUAUUUGAUAGUUAAAUUUGAUACUUAAGGACCGUCAACAAACUCCCCCAAGCUUACCUCUUGCUCGUCCCUGAGCAAGGAUAGACUCAGCAAUGGAUCAGAAGUUGUUGCAAUAUCUUAAAAAUUUGACGGUACACAUGCUUUUUGAAUAAGUUCUCAUCUCUGAGUUAGAGUAAACUGUCAAGAACUAAAACUUACUUACUUUACCUUUCACCAUGGGACUUGUAACCGUCACUUCUGUCUUGAGUAGUUAAAAGAUAGAACAGUCUAGCCAAGUGCCAUGUCUCUUAUUCUUGAUCAGCUAUAGCUCUGGAGUUUUUGCAGAUUUUCAAAUAAAACUCAGAGAUUCCUUUGUAUGACUCUCUCAUAUCUCUCUUUUGUGGUAUUUCUGGAUCCUUACCAAGGAAAUGAUGGUAUAUGCCUUCUCUCAAAAUAUGUGGUAUUUGUGGUAUAAGGCAUAGUGACAUUGCCUUCUCUCUCACCCUACUUUAAUAAGGCUUUAAUAUCUGGAGCUCAUAGGUGGGAGAUAAGGUAUACAUACUUACAAGACAUUUAUUGUAUAGUCAAACCAUGGAUCCAAAGAAACAAAUCAAUAAGCCAAAUCAAGAUGUGCUUGUGUGGCGAAUGAAUGGUGUAUAGUGAUGAUGGUGAUAACAAUGGUGAAAGUCUAAUUCUACUUUUGCUCUUAUGAGGGGAUACAUACCUUCCUUGCUUUUUGAAACUUUAUGAGGAGAAUGAGAUGCUCUUCUUUUUCUUUCCUCUCAGGUGGGUAUCUUGUACCCCUAAUUCUACUGUCGGACACUUGUCCAUUUUUACCACUCGUCUCACUUUUUCUUUCUUUCGAGGUUCCGGGCACUUGCCCCUUUUUAUUUCCUCGUUUAUUAUUAUUUUUUUUUCUUUUCUUCUCUCUUCUUUUCUUCUUUUUUUUCAGAGCACUCAUCUCCUGAAAUAAUGUAGCAAGUGGUAGUAACCAAAAUAAUUGGAGCAUUUAUUUCACAGGGAAUAACAGGGAUAGGAAAAUGUUUUUGGCUAUUCUCUCCCGGAUUAGGAGUAGAAUGAUUUUGGGUGAAACUGGAGAUGGAAAUGGAUGGAUAUAUGUGGAUGGUACUUCCGAAGUAGAAGUAGCAUAUAUGAGUGAACGUGCAAGUGAAUCUUGAUUUAACCACAUGACAAGCUCUUAAGGGUCUACACAGCUUGACCACACUCAAUGCUCAUAAGCAGUAAAUAAAUAUGUGGCUCAAAGUCUAGCAAGCAUGUAUAUAUGGCUGUGGUAGGAAUUUAAACUUUCAUCAUACAGGAACUCAUCAUGCAAUAUUUUAAAGAUUUUCAAAGAUAAAAUUCUCCAGAAUUCUAGCAUCUCUAGGAAUAGAUAAACAGCAGCUCAACCUUCCCAUAUCAUAUCCGUUAACAACUUAGAUUUCAGAUCAAGUUUUCAUCCCACAAGUUUAGAUCUAGAGCAAGCUUUAAAUUAUAACAGUUAUGUCUAAACUUGAGAGAGAACUUCAAAUUUGCAAAUUAGGCAGAGCAACUAUUUAUCAUAUCCAUGCUAGAGUUUUAUUAUUAAGAUUCAGAUUAGCAUAGCCACUUUAUUUAUUUAUUAAACACACUAAGCAAAAGAUAUAUAUAUAAGCACAAAAUCUUUAUUUGGUUUUUCAUAGUUUAUGUAUUUUAAUAUUCUAAUAUAAGUAUAAAGAUAGGUAGAAAUACUUAGCGAGAUAAGUGGGGGUGCUCUCCCCCAAGCUGAAUUUUGACGUAAUUUCUCUUGAUGUAGCUAGCAGGUGGCAGAGGUGUAUUUGAAAGUCAGCAGCAUUCUGACAGCGAUUAGAAUGUCCUCCGUCUGCUAGUUUUCUUGAUUCUUAAAUUCUGUGGAGCUCAAAUAGACAACAAAGCUUGUGAAACUAAUUAAGUGUUAGCAUAAAUAUCUAGGCCUUGUUUACUUCCCAGAAAAUUUUGCAAAAUUUUUCACAUUCCCCGUCACAUCGAAUCUUUAGACGCAUGCAUGGAGCAUUAAAUAUAGACGAAAAUAAAAACUAAUUGCACAGUUUGGUCGAAAUUGACGAGACGAAUCUUUUGAGCCUACUUAGUCCAUGAUUGGACAAUAUUUGUCAAAUACAAACGAAAAUGCUACAGUGUCCAUUUCCCAAAAUUUUUCGGAACUAAACAAGGCCCUAGCCUUCAUCACGUUGAGCUUCCUCAAUAAAUAUUACUCCCUGUUUUUAUAUUUUUAUUUUAUAAAGUAGAAAAGAAAUAUUUAUUUUAUUUUUAUGCCACCACAGUGAAGGUACUUAUGGGUUUUACGCCACUCGUAUACUCACAUGGGGCUUAGUAUUUUUUAACAUUUUUAUUUUCUUUUCAAGAUAGCAUGAUUAACUAAUAAUCUAUUUAAGGAAAGUAAAUAAUUAAAGGGAAAAGGGAAUGCAGAAAGGAUAAAUAUGGAUAACUACCAAUCUUACCUUUCGGCCAGGGUUCAAUGUUUUAAGUCUUCUUGACAAGACUUCUCACCGUGUUCAUUCUUCAGGUGCGUCAUUUGAUUCAGGUGCGGACCUUGACGUCUGCACCUUUUAAUACGGUGUCACCUAUGUUCUUUGUUUGCCCAGCUGUUCGAAGUGCGGUGUUAGCAGUAUCUUGCUCAGUGUGUUUGUGCUCGUAGUGUAUCUGCUCAUAGAGACAAGGCAGAGAUCAAGUGCAUGGGCCCUGUUGGUGGAAAACACCAACAGAACCAAAAGUGUAUUUGUUCUUCUCUAACCUUAAGCAUAGUGAGCAAGACAAGUUGAUGGAUGAUAAGUUCAUGAGUAUAGCACUUAUAACAAUUGUCAGAUCAGAUCACUCAACCUUAUGGAAAGAUAAUCUAUCUAUGUAUAUGUCUUUUUCUUUAUAUCUCUCAAUGAUUGAAUGUGUAACAUUUUAGCUCAUAUGAUUAGGAGUGUGGGAUCAUGGAGGUAGUACUAAGAACAAGGAUUAAAGGACUAAACAUGUUGAAUCAGUUGGGUUGGUUAAUCUAGAGUUGUAAAUCAUACACGUUUGUCUCUUUUAUUUAUAUGAAUGCCAGAACCAAGGAGAAGCUUAUAAAAGUGAUAGUCAAGUACCUUAAGAUGUUACCUUGCUCGAAGAGUGAUGGUACAGUAUCAUCUUGUGGAAGCUUUCCUUUCUUAGCGGUUGUGCGUCUUGUUUAUGUACUUUGUCUCCUUCCAUGGAUCAUCUCUGUAUGGUGAAUGAGCUAUGUCCUUCUUGUGCGAAUUGUUAAACUUCAUGUGUUGCUCUCUUCAUCUCUGAUGUGAGUUUAUCUCAGGACUUCCCAAAUUGAUAUUGAAAGUUUUUCUGCAGGGGUUAGUCCGACAAAAUAUACCAAUAUCUACUCAAGCAGUUUUUUAGUUCAAUAACCAAACUAGACGCCAUGUCUAAUCAGAUUAAGGAAGGCUAUUUAACCUAAGCACCAUGCUUAAUUUAAAUGCCAAUGGAAGUAUGGCGAGUACUUCCAAACCAACACUUGCUAGUAAAUAGACAAAGGUAGCAUGACAGCGUUUAUAGAGAUCUACUCAAGUGGAGAUGAAGUAGUGUGAUUAGUAUUUAACAAAUUGAGCAUGUCUCAAAGGUAGGGACAACCAGCAUAGCAACAUGGCAAAGGAUGUUUUUAUGUAAAGUACUCCCCCAAGCUUGAAUUUUGCAAAAUUCAAGUUUGGAUGAAUUUAAUUCAAUGUUGUAUGAUGAUUGGUUGGACAUACCUUGUGCUUGUCAUUCAUCCGAUCUUCUUGCUCCAAUCUUAGAAAGGUUAGUGACAAGAAUACCCGAAGGAAUAUUUUUUUUUACAAUUAUCCUUAUAUGCUUAAUACACAAGGUAAUGUUGCAAAUAAUUAAAGGCUCAUGUUACGAUCUGAUCAAUGCUUAUUUUAAGACACUAAGCUUGUCCUUGGGAAACCAUCAGUUUAUGUUGGCGAAGUGGUUUCCCCUCCGACGCCAACCUAUUUCUAGAUCAACUCAACGAGAUCUGCAAUAUUUAUUAUAGACAUAUGCAUCGACAACCGCCCUUUUAAAGUUUUUAUAAAUAGAAAGGAAGAGGGGGUUGGAGAUCUCAAGUGUGGUGAUGUCGGAGAGACCAAUAGAUUGGGAAGAUGUUGCAUAUGAGCAUGGAGUAAACAAAGUGGCUAUGAAAUAAAUUCCAUGCUCAUUAAUGUUAUCUUCGUCUCCAAUCUGAAUGUUCAGAGUUUCUCCUAGAUUGGUCUCACCUAUGUCCUCUUCUGUAGUUGGAUGAAUCUCAUCUUCAAAAGGAGUCAAGAACUCACCAUUUGAAAUUGAGCCAAAGUCAGAACCCAUUAAGGCUUCUUCCUUAUCCAUCCAUUCUACACAUUCUAGCCAUUUAGAACUUGUGAUCAAAAUAGGGGAGGUGUUAGAAUUUUCUAUAUGGCUUAGCUCUCCUUCACUUGAUAUGUCAUCCUCGACUUCUUCAUGAUAGGAACCAGGACAUUCUCUAAGAGAAACAUUAUUGCAAUGAUUUGAAUUAUCCCUGCUUGAAGGUCUCUUAUAAAACCAGAAGUCUAAACCAUCAGCAUCUAAAAGAUUUAAGGUCGGAAUUCCUUCCUCCCUUGGAGAAUUUUGGGGUAUUGAAGGUUUAGGAUCGAUAGCUAAAGUUCGGGAUUGAAGUGGUUGUGAUCUGGCUAUCGAAACUUCUUCUUCUUGUCUAGGAACUGGUUCUUUCUCUUUCUCAGGGAUAUAAAAGCUAGGAGACUUUCCGCUCAUUAAAUCAAUCAAAUUCCAAGCUUCACUAGCGGAUAGGUGGUGGAAGGAUCCUCCAGAGGCCGCAUGAAGGGUUUGCUUAUUUUCCCUACUAAGGCCCUCAAAAAAGUGAAUUAGAAGAACUUCUUCUGGAAUAGAAAGUUUUGGGCCAGUGAGAGUAAGGUUAAUAAAGCGGUCCCAUGAUUUGCCAAGAGAUUCUUCUUCCAGUUGUCUAAAAGAAAGAAUCUCACGCCGAAGUUCCACCACUUUGGAGAUUGGAAAACAUUUAGAAAGAAAACUACUAUAUAACUCCUUCCAAUCUCCAUGAACACUCCCUACUUUGAGUUUAUACCAAUGUCUAGCUUUUCCCGUUAAAGAGAACGGAAAGAGCUUCCAUUUAAGGGUCUCAUCGGACAUGCCUUCUAUGCGAAGGAGGUCACAGACUCGAUAAAACUCUCUUAGGUGUGUGUAUGGGUUUUCCUCACCUUCUCCUGAGAAAGGUUGUUUUUGAAUAAAUUCUAUGUAUUCGGGGUCUAUCUCAAAACUAGAUGCUAUGAUAGGCUUUGAAGAUUUUGGUGGUUCGAGAUGUGUGCCCAUAGGUCUAUGAAAUUCAUAGAUAGACAUGUUUGAAUUCAUAAUAGACCAGAGAUCAAGGAUUAGAUAAGAAGAAAGAAUAGCAGAGAUGAGGCAAAGGAUAAAAGGAAAAUAUUUUUAUUAUUAUUUUUUUUAUAAAAUGAUUAAACUAGUUCGUAGUCAACUCAGCAACCGUUUCCCCGGCAACGGCGCCAAAAAUGCUUGUUGACACUUGCUAACACCACUUGAAUACUAGGUUGUCAUCCCCAGCAUGGCACUAGAGUGUACUAUGGUAUUUAUACGCACACAGAUAAUCCGCAAGCGCACGGAUACCGUUGAAGCUUUUACCCGGUUAAAGAUUUUAUCGUAUCCACAGGGAAACGGGAGAACUGAUCUACGCUCUAACUUAACCAAGAUAAGUAAAUAGGUGUGAAUAGGAAAGAUGGUAGAAUCGAAUAAGAACAAUAUUAAAGGUAAGAUAACAGUGAGUGAUAAUAUGGGAAUAGAGAGUAGAGCAAUUCUAGUAUAUGGGCGAUGGUAGCAGAAUAGAGAGGAUAACUAUGGUUUCUCUACUUCAAAGGGGUAUGUCUAUGUCUGGGACGAACCGCGUGAUAAGAGUACACCACAAAGGAUGCUUAUCCAUAGGCCGAUAAACCCUACCCGUCCUGCUAACGAGAGGUGGACUACAGGGGACCAACGUAACUGUCACCUACGCGGCCUACCACACGAUCCAGCUAGCCAGGGGAUAUCCACAAGUAAUCUAGGUCUAAGCACCACGCUUACACCUAUACUACAACUCUAACCUAUAGGGUCCUAUAGAUUAGAAGUACUCAAAAGAGUUGUGAACCAGAACAUACAUGAUUAGUAAUUGCAUAAUGAAUUAGAAGUAGAUUACCAGAGUCAUCCCAUGAGCAAGCUUGAUUAGAGCUUGAUCAUGACGAAGUACAACCGGAGGAAGAACCGACAGGCCGGCCUCUCCUCUAAUCCUCCUUCGCUCUCCAUCUCGCUACUAUCUAGAUCUACUCUAGUUUAGAGAAGAGAGGAGAGCUCUCAUCUCUAAACCCUAGGUUUUGCUCUGUCUAUGAAUAAUGAAUAAUGAUCAAGGGGUGCCUCUUCUAGGGGCCAGGGGGUCUACUUUUAUAGUCCCCUCAAGUGAACCUGGGCCGUCGGAUCAAACCGACAUUGAUUGAACGGUUAUUCUUGAUCCUUUAGGUCGGUGGAGCAUAAUCCGCGAGAUUGAGCAUGAUUGGCCGAAAAAGGUGGGCGGGCGCCCUAAGGACUUGGGCGGGCGCCCUGUCCCUGACUCCGUUCGGUCUCCGCUUCCUUCCCGUGGCUUCUGGAGUCUUCUAGAUGUAAUAUAAUUGCGCGGCACGUUGAUAUCUCUAUGUAAUCCCGACGUGUGGGUCUUUCUUCCUUAUUUCCUGAUAAUCCCCUGCAGAAAUAGACAAACACCAAAACUCGUGGAAUUCUGUCAGAUAAAACCCUAAGUCUUGAUGUUGAUUUCAUUUGGAUCCUUUUCUUUGUUUAUUUGAUAGUUAAAUUUGAUACUUAAGGACCGUCAACAAACUCCCCCAAGCUUACCUCUUGCUCGUCCCUGAGCAAGGAUAGACUCAGCAAUGGAUCAGAAGUUGUUGCAAUAUCUUAAAAAUUUGACGGUAGACAUGCUUUUUAAAUAAGUUCUCAUCUCUGAGUUAGAGUAAACUGUCAAGAACUAAAACUUACUUACUUUACCUUUCACCAUGGGACUUGUAACCGUCACUUCUGUCUUGAGUAGUUAAAAGAUAGAACAGUCUAGCCAAGUGCCAUGUCUCUUAUUCUUGAUCACCUAUAGCUCUGGAGUUUUUGCAGAUUUUCAAAUAAAACUCAGAGAUUCCUUUGUAUGACUCUCUCAUAUCUCUCUUUUGUGGUAUUUCUGGAUCCUUACCAAGGCAGUGAUGGUAUAUGCCUUCUCUCAAAAUAUGUGGUAUUUGUGGUAUAAGGCAUAGUGACAUUGCCUUCUCUCUCACCCUACUCUAAUAAGGCUUUAAUAUCUGGAGCUCAUAGGUGGGAGAUAAGGUAUACAUACUUACAAGACAUUUAUUGUAUAGUCAAACCAUGGAUCCAAAGAAACAAAUCAAUAAGCCAAAUCAAGAUGUGCAUGUGUGGCGAAUGAAUGGUGUAUAGUGAUGAUGGUGAUAACAAUGGUGAAAGUCUAAUUCUACUUUUGCUCUUAUGAGGGGAUACAUACAUUUCCUUUCUUUUUGAAACUUUAUGAGGAGAAUGAGAUGCUCUUCUUUUUCUUUCCUCUCAGGUGGGUAUCUUGUACCCCUAAUUCUACUGUCGGACACUUGUCCAUUUUUACCACUCGUCUCACUUUUUCUUUCUUUCGAGGUUCCGGGCACUUGCCCCUUUUUAUUUCCUCGUUUAUUAUUAUUUUUUUCUUUUCUUCUCUCUUGUUUUCUUCUUUUUUUUUCAGAGCACUCAUCUCCUAAAAUAAUGUAGCAAGUGGUAGUAACCAAAAUAACUGGAGCAUUUAUUUCACAGGGAAUAACAGGGAUAGGAAAAUGUUUUUGGCUAUUCUCUCCCGGAUUAGGAGUAGAAUGAUUUUGGGUGAAACUGGAGAUGGAAAUGGAUGGAUAUAUGUGGAUGGUACUUCCGAAGUAGAAGUAGCAUAUAUGAGUGAACGUGCAAGUGAAUCUUGAUUUAACCACAAGACAAGCUCCUAAGGGUCUACACAGCUUGACCACACUCAAUGCUCAUAAGCAGUAAAUAAAUGUGUGGCUCAAAGUCUAGCAAGCAUGUAUAUAUGGCUGUGGUAGGAAUUUAAACUUUCAUCAUACAGGAACUCAUCAUGCAAUAUUUUAAAGAUUUUCAAAGAUAAAAUUCUCCAGAAUUCUAGCAUCUCUAGGAAUAGAUAAACAGCAGCUCAACCUUCCCAUAUCAUAUCUGUUAACAACUUAGAUUUCAGAUCAAGUUUUCAUCCCACAAGUUUAGAUCUAGAGCAAGCUUUAAAUUAUAACAGUUAUGUCUAAACUUGAGAGAGAACUUCAAAUUUGCAAAUUAGGCAGAGCAACUAUUUAUCAUAUCCAUGCUAGAGUUUUAUUAUUAAGAUUCAGAUUAGCAUAGCCACUUUAUUUAUUUAUUAAACACACUAAGCAAAAGAUAUAUAUAUAAGCACAAAAUCUUUAUUUGGUUUUCAUAGUUUAUGUAUUUUAAUAUUCUAAUAUAAGUAUAAAGAUAGGUAGAAAUACUUAGCGAGAUAAAUGGGGGUGCUCUCCCCCAAGCUGAAUUUUGACGUAAUUUCUCUUGAUGUAGCUAGCAGGUGGCAGAGGUGUAUUUGAAAGUCAGCAGCAUUCUGACAGCGAUUAGAAUGUCCUCCGUCUGCUAGUUUUCUUGAUUCUUAAAUUCUGUGGAGUUCAAAUAGACAACAAAGCUUGUGGAACUAAUUAAGUGUUAGCAUAAAUAUCUAGCCUUCAUCACGUUGAGCUUCCUCAAUAAAUAUUACUCCCUGUUUUUAUAUUUUUAUUUUAUAAAGUAGAAAAGAAAUAUUUAUUUUAUUUUUAUGCCACCACAGUGAAGGUACUUAUGGGUUUUAUGCCACUCGUAUACUCACAUGGGGCUUAGUAUUUUUUAACAUUUUUAUUUUCUUUUCAAGAUAGCAUGAUUAACUAAUAAUCUAUUUAAGGAAAGUAAAUAAUUAAAGGGAAAAGGGAAUGCAGAAAGGAUAAAUAUGGAUAACUACCAAUCUUACCUUUCGGCGAGGGUUCAAUGUUUUAAGUCUUCUUGACAAGACUUCUCACCGUGUUCAUUCUUCAGGUGCGUCAUUUGAUUCAGGUGCGGACCUUGACGUCUGCACCUUUUAAUACGGUGUCACCUAUGUUCUUCGUUUGCCCAGCAGUUCGAAGUGCGGUGUUAGCAGUAUCUUGCUCAGUGUGUUUGUGCUCGUAGUGUACCUGCUCAUAGAGACAAGGCAGAGAUCAAGUGCAUGGGCCCUGUUGGUGGAAAACACCAACAGAACCAAAAGUGUAUUUGUUCUUCUCUAACCUUAAGCAUAGUGAGCAAGACAAGUUGAUGGAUGAUAAGUUCAUGAGUAUAGCACUUAUAACAUUUGUCAGAUCAGAUCACUCAACCUUAUGGAAAGAUAAUCUAUCUAUGUAUAUGUCUUUUUCUUUAUAUCUCUCAAUGAUUGAAUGUGUAACAUUUUAGCUCAUAUGAUUAGGAGUGUGGGAUCAUGGAGGUAGUACUAAGAACAAGGAUUAAAGGACUAAACAUGUUGAAUCAGUUGGGUUGGUUAAUCUAGAGUUGUAAAUCAUACACGUUUGUCUCUUUUAUUUAUAUGAAUGCCAGAACCAAGGAGAAGCUUAUAAAAGUGAAAGUCAAGUACCUUAAGAUGUUACCUUGCUCGAAGAGUGAUGGUACAGUAUCAUCUUGUGGAAGCUUUCCUUUCUUAGCGGUUGUGCGUCUUGUUUAUGUACUUUGUCUCCUUCCAUGGAUCAUCUCUGUAUGGUGAAUGAGCUAUGUCCUUCUUGUGCAAAUUGUUAAACUUCAUGUGUUGCUCUCUUCAUCUCUGAUGUGAGUUUAUCUCAGGACUUCCCAAAUUGAUAUUGAAAGUUUUUCUGCAGGGGUUAGUCCGACAAAAUAUACCAAUAUCUACUCAAGUAGUUUUUUAGUUCAAUAACCAAACUAGACUCCAUGUCUAAUCAGAUUAAGGAAGGCUAUUUAACCUAAGCACCAUGCUUAAUUUAAAUGCCAAUGGAAGUAUGGCGAGUACUUCCAAACCAACACUUGCUAGUAAAUAGAUAAAGGUAGCAUGACAGCGUUUAUAGAGAUCUACUCAAGUGGAGAUGAAGUAGUGUGAUUAGUAUUUAACAAAUUGAGCAUGUCUCAAAGGUACGGACAACCAGCAUAGCAACAUGGCAAAGGAUGUUUUUAUGUAAAGUACUCCCCCAAGCUUGAAUUUUGCAAAAUUCAAGUUUGGAUGAAUUUAAUUCAAUGUUGUAUGAUGAUUGGUUGGACAUACCUUGUGCUUGUCAUUCAUCUGAUCUUCUUGCUCCAAUCUUAGAAAGGUUAGUGACAAGAAUACCCGAAGGAAUAUUUUUUUUACAAUUAUCCUUAUAUGCUUAAUACACAAGGUAAUGUUGCAAAUAAUUAAAGGCUCAUGUUACGAUCUGAUCAAUGCUUAUUUUAAGACACUAAGCUUGUCCUUGGGAAACCAUCAGUUUAUGUUGGCGAAGUGGUUUCCCCUCUGACACCAACCUAUAUCUAGAUCAACUCAACGAGAUCUGCAAUAUUUAUUAUAGACAUAUGCAUCGACAACCGCCCUUUUAAAGUUUUUAUAAAUAGAAAGGAAGAGGGGGUUGGAGAUCUCAAGUGUGGUGAUGUCGGAGAGACCAAUAGAUUGGGAAGAUGUUGCAUCUGAGCAUGGAGUAAGCAAAGUGGCUAUGAAAUAAAUUCCAUGCUCAUUAAUGUUAUCUUCGUCUCCAAUCUGAAUGUUCGGAGUUUCUCCUAGAUUGGUCUCACCUAUGUCCUCUUCUGUAGUUGGAUGAAUCUCAUCUUCAAAAGGAGUCAAGAACUCACCAUUUGAAAUUGAGCCAAAGUCAGAACCCAUUAAGGCUUCUUCCUUAUCCAUCCAUUCUACACAUUCUAGCCAUUUAGAACUUGUGAUCAAAAUAGGGGAGGUGUUAGAAUUUUCUAUAUGGCUUAGCUCUCCUUCACUUGAUAUGUCAUCCUUGACUUCUUCAUGAUAGGAACCAGGACAUUCUCUAAGAGAAACAUUAUUGCAAUGAUUUGAAUUAUCCCUGCUUGAAGGUCUCUUAUAGAACCAGAAGUCUAAACCAUCAGCAUCUAAAAGAUUUAAGGUCGGAAUUCCUUCCUCCCUUGGAGAAUUUUGGGGUAUUGAAGGUUUAGGAUCGAUAGCUAAAGUUUGGGAUUGAAGUGGUUGUGAUCUGGCUAUCGAAACUUCUUCUUCUUGUCUAGGAACUCGUUCUUUCUCUUUCUCAGGGAUAUAAAAGCUAGGAGACUUUCCGCUCAUUAAAUCAAUCAAAUUCCAAGCUUCACUAGCGGAUAGGUGGUGGAAGGAUCCUCCAGAGGCCACAUGAAGGGUUUGCUUAUUUUCCCUACUAAGGCCCUCAAAAAAGUGAAUUAGAAGAACUUCUUCUGGAAUAGAAAGUUUUGGGCCACUGAGAGUAAGGUUAAUAAAGCGGUCCCAUGAUUUGCCAAGAGAUUCUUCUUCCAGUUGUCUAAAAGAAAGAAUCUCACACCGAAGUUCCACCACUUUGGAGAUUGGAAAAUAUUUAGAAAGAAAACUACUAUAUAACUCCUUCCAAUCUCCAUGAACACUCCCUACUUUGAGUUUAUACCAAUGUCUAGCUUUUCCCGUUAAAGAGAACGGAAAGAGCUUCCAUUUAAGGGUCUCAUCGGACAUGCCUUCUAUGCGAAGGAGGUCACAGACUUGAUAAAACUCUCUUAGGUGUGUGUAUGGGUUUUCCUCACCUUCUCCUGAGAAAGGUUGUUUUUGAAUAAAUUCUAUGUAUUCGGGGUCUAUCUCAAAACUAGAUGCUAUGAUAGGCUUUGAAGAUUUUGGUGGUUCGAGAUGUGUGCCCAUAGGUCUAUGAAAUUCAUAGAUAGACAUGUUUGAAUUCAUAAUAGACCAGAGAUCAAGGAUUAGAUAAGAAGGAAAAUAUUUUUAUUAUUAUUUUUUUAUAAAAUGAUUAAACUAGUUCGUAGUCAACUCAGCAACCGUUUCCCCGGCAACGGUGCCAAAAAUGCUUGUUGACACUUGCUAACACCACUUGAAUACUAGGUUGUCAUCCCCAGCAUGGCACUAGAGUGUACUAUGGUAUUUAUACGCACACAGAUAAUCCGCAAGCACACGGAUACCGUUGAAGCUUUUACCCGGUUAAAGGUUUUAUCGUAUCCACAGGGAAACGGGAGAACUGAUCUACGCUCUAACUUAACCAAGAUAAGUAAAUAGGUGUGAAUAGGAAAGAUGGUAGAAUCGAAUAAGAACAAUAUUAAAGGUAAGAUAACCGUGAGUGAUAAUAUGGGAAUAGAGAGUAGAGCAAUUCUAGUAUAUGGGCGAUGGUAGCAGAAUAGAGAGGAUAACUAUGGUUUCUCUACUUCAAAGGGGUAUGUCUAUGUCUGGGACGAACCACGUGAUAAGAGUACACCACAAAGGAUGCUUAUCCAUAGGCAGAUAAACCCUACCCGUCCUGCUAACGAGAGGUGGACUACAGGGGACCAACGUAACUGUCACCUACGCGGCCUACCACAUGAUCCAGCUAGCCAGGGGAUAUCCACAAGUAAUCUAGGUCUAAGCACCACGCUUACACCUAUACUACAACUCUAACCUAUAGGGUCCUAUAGAUUAGAAGUACUCAAAAGAGUUGUGAACCAGAACAUACAUGAUUAGUAAUUGCAUAAUGAAUUAGAAGUAGAUUACCAGAGUCAUCCCAUGAGCAAGCUUGAUUAGAGCUUGAUCAUGACGAAGUACAACCGGAGGAAGAACCGACAGGCCGGCCUCUCCUCUAAUCCUCCUUCGCUCUCCAUCUCGCUACUAUCUAGAUCUACUCUAGUUUAGAGAAGAGAGGAGAGCUCUCAUCUCUAAACCCUAGCUUUUGCUCUGUCUAUGAAUAAUGAAUAAUGAUCAAGGGGUGCCUCCUCUAGGGGCCAGGUGGUCUGGUUUUAUAGUCCCCUCAAGUCAACCUGGGCCGUCAGAUCAAACCGACAUUGAUUGAACGGUUAUUCUUGAUCCUUUAGGUCGGUGGAGCAUAAUCCGCGAGAUUGAGCGUGAUUGGCCGAAAAAGGUGGGCGGGCGCCCUAAGGACUUGGGCGGGCGCCCUGUCCCUGACUCCGUUCGGUCUCCGCUUCCUUCCCGUGGCUUCUGGAGUCUUCUAGAUGUAAGAUAAUUGCGCGGCACGUUGAUAUCUCUAUGUAAUCCCGACGUGUGGGCCUUUCUUCCUUAUUUCCUGAUAACCCCCUGCAGAAAUAGACAAACACCAAAACUCAUGGAAUUCUGUC